rnacentral:rRNA from 1 species
CAGUAGCCGCGGUAAUACGAAGGGGGCUAGCGUUGAUCGGAUUAACUGGGCGUAAAGGGCGCGUAGGCGGGUUUUUAAGUCAGAGGUGAAAUCCCAAGGCUCAACCUUGGAACUGCCUUUGAUACUGAAAGUCUUGAGUCCGGGAGAGGUGAGUGGAACUGCGAGUGUAGAGGAGAAAUUCGUAGAUAUUGGGAAGAACACCGGUGGCGAAGGCGGCUCACUGGCUCGUUUCUGACGCUCAUGCACGACAGCGUGGGGAUCAAACAGGAUUAGAUACCCCCGUAGUCCCUGUCUCUUAUAC